UACGGAGGGUGCGAGCGUUGUCCGGAAUCACUGGGCGUAAAGGGCGCGUAGGUGGCCUGUGGAAGUCUGCGGUGAAAGCCCGGCGCUCAACGCCGGGUCGGCCGUGGAUACUCUCGGGCUUGAGCUUACUAGAGGCAGAUGGAAUUCCGGGUGUAGCGGUGGAAUGCGUAGAGAUCCGGAAGAAUACCGGUGGCGAAGGCGGCCUGCUGGGCAGUGGCUGACACUGAGGCGCGACGAGCGUGGGGAGCAAACAGG
rnacentral:rRNA from 1 species